GGUUUCUUAUUCAUGAGCUACACUUAGAUCCACACAGUACAUUUAUUUUUAGGGACAACUAAAGUUCAUUUAAUAACUCAUUUGAACAUGCUGAGUAAAAGCUCGACUCUGCUGGAACAUCAGUGGAGUCAGACACAGGUAUCCAUCUGCCUCAGCAAGAGGGCAUCAACAAAUUGGAGUGGGGCAGAGAAGAAAGCUGCUCCUUGAUGCAAGAAGAAGCUGUGUCUAACCUAUGGCUUGAACACUAGGCAAAGACUCCACAGGUCUUUCCUCUCAUCCAUGAAGCAACAGUAACCUGUAAAACAGUGCAUCUUUUUAGUGAAUAGUGGAGUGAUGAUGUGCUACAUUGCCAAGGCACUAAACAGAAGGAAGGCAGUAACUUUGAAAGAAAGCACCAUACCUUAAGGAUCUCACCAUCAAAAUUCACAUUCUUCAGUCCAUGUAUUGGAGCUUCCACAAUAACUGUUUUUCCAUUUUUAUAAAUUUUAAUAUUGUCUGUAAAAAGUAAUGGAGAAAAUGAGUAGCACAAAGUACAUCAUUUUCCUUCACAAUUACCAUUGUUCUGCUGCAGUCAGAAGGUUUGGAAUUGUUGAUGUUUUGCUUUGUUUUGUUUUGUGGAGAGAUCAAAAAGAGAAGAAACAUUCAAUUCAUUUGUGAAAACAUUCUACUGUGGUCUCUUGUAGUUGGAACUUACUUUUGUAUCCAGUCUAUUAAGUCUUGAAAUGAAAAUGAUAUUGGUGGUUCUCCAGAUAAAUAACUGGCCUGAAGCAUGUUAACUGUGACUGUAACAAGUACACUUUUUGUAAACGAGAACCAGUCUUGGACAGAAACCAUUUCUUAUAUGUAUACUGCUUUACCUCUUAGUUAUACCAAGGAAAAGUAAGUGUGUAUCUGCUAUGGGAAAAACAGAAUUAUUAAGCAAUACAAAUAUUGAGAUGAUCUCUAGUUUUUCUUUGAAUUAAUCCCAUUUGUGUUUUCUUAACAGUGUGAUGUUUCUGUGAAGCAUAUAAAAAACAGACUUGAAGACACUUGGUUUCUGAAUCAGUCCUAGAAAUGUGGGUAUGAAAGCUCACCUUUUUCAUACUCAGAAACUCCACUGUCUGAUAGUACUGAUUCUUUAUUGCAUGUCACGAGCAGAGAUGAAUCUGCUGCAGGACAGAUUGUGAUGUUCCUAUAAGAAAAAAAAAGGAAAAAAAAAAAAGAAUAAACUAGUGGUUAAUUUGAAAUCUAGGGUAGAGAUAUUUGUGAGCAAAGCUAGCAGAGAGCUAAUUUGAACAUUUGGACUGUGAAUGAGUGACUGAGCUGCUUUCAUUUCAAAAUGCAAAAUUUAUUGGACCUUUGGAUGCUGAAAUUCAACCUCUGAAGAAAAGGUUCUGUGGGAACUUACGGAGCAGGUUAUAAGAUCCUGACUGCAUCACUGAAUAUGAGGAAAAUGAAACCAAUGACUGUCUGAUGAGGAUUCUGUAAAUCCUCAAAUAUACAACUAUAAACUAGUUGCACCCAAACUAGACAUCUCCCUUCCCAGACUAACUCCUUGAAGUUUUUGUAUCUAAUUAUUGAGCCUUCAGAAUAAAUCACACUUACGCUGAACUUGUAUUUAUGUGAACCUCUCUUGACAAAGACUGGUGAUCAACUUUUCUUGUAGUAAUGAUGAAUUUUGGAUGUUCGGUACAAUCUUGGGCCACUACCACAUUGCAGCUUUUAUUGAAAGAACAGGUAAAGCUCAUGCGAUCAAAUGUUUUGAAAUCUCCCUUACUGACUUCACAUGUGGCUGCAAAACAAAACCAGAAAAGAAAUGGCAGAUGGGACAAUGGCAUGGUGUGUUGCUGCAAAGUACUGAAGGCUGCCUCUGUGAGAUUGGACUACACAGCAAAUAGAAAAAGAACUUCAACAUCUCCUUGUCAGAAUCUUUCGGUGCUGCCAGUCUGUAAGAAUAGGAUAUCACUACAGAAUUGCUAAUAGUUGUAGACUAUAUUAGUAGUGAUUUUGAUGACAUGCCUCAAACCUCAAGACAGUAUAGUGACUAAAACUUACUAAUGUCUUCAAAAACUAAAAGUAGUAACCGUUAUAGAAACUAAUUCACAUUUGCCACGGAAGUGUUAGAUACCAAUAACUUAAUACUCACAUGAUUUUUUUUUUAAUAAAAUAAUAAACAUGGCAAAAAAUCAAUUAUUUAUCUUACACCCAUCAGAUAAUGCCUCUCAACACAGAGAUGGCACCUUCUUAGAAGGGGCAAAAGAGGACCUCUACAGCUUGCAGAUAGGAAUGAUUCCUGAACUCUGAAGAUUUACAUCAGUUUGAAGUCUCUUCAUCCACCUGCUAGUAAAUGUACUUCUAAGUGAUAAAAUGAACUGCUGAAAAAGCAGAGUUGGAGACACUAAGCUUCCCUCUAGAAGACCAAUAUGGGGAAAGACAAGUCCCAGUUGUCUCAGAGGAUGGAUAUACAAACAUUGCUUCCUCAUGAGACAAUCAUAUAAGUAGUACUUACAUUGAUCUUCUUGUGCUAUUUGUGAAGCUAUUUCAGGAAGGAAAUUCCAGGCAGUGAUAUCUCUAGUCUCAUAUGAUGAAGAUGAUGGCCCUAAGGGCAAAGUGAAUGGCACUCGGAGUCCCUGAUAGUAAAGUGUUACCUGAAAAAGUAGAAAUGAAAAAAAAAACAUUAAGAUAUAUUGAGCCAUAUUGCUUGUGAUAUCACUGCAAAGAGACAAACAAAAAAGACAUCCUGGAAAAAUAUCUUGAAGAUACACAAUCGCAGUUGUGUUAGUUUCUCUAGGAUAUGCCCAAAUCUCAGGUUGUUCUUAGCAAUCACUCUCUCUUCUGGUCUCAGUUUCUGACUUUUAUGAGAAAUUGUUAAGAACAUUAGAAAGUAACCUAUGUAGAUGAAGUUUAAAUGAUAAUUAUGUGACUUUUGAAAAAAGUGAUUUAAAAAUUAAAGUAACUAAUCUGAUGGAUGUGUUUGGCAAAGAGAACAGUGUCUAUUAAGGGCUGAAAAAUGGCAUGAUGUGCCAUGGUGGUAAGAUUUCUUACUUUUGUACAUACAAAAGACAUUUACCAAGACCAUCAACUUAAUGACUAAUGUUUCUACUUCUUCAUUAUCAUGUAAUAAAGAUCCUGCAAUUCUGAAGCAUAACGGAAGGUUAAAGACACACUAAUUUCUCUGUUUAUGAAUAGCGAGCUGUUAUUAAUUUGCCACAGAUCCAUAGGGGAAAACUUUCAAAGCAGUGCACAGGGAUUUGGUGGACAAGGACCAAUUAAUCAGUGGGAUUCUGCAGAUCCAGCCUGUGCAAGCUGCUCUGAGAGUGUAACUAACUGCUUCAGUUUAGUUAAAGCUGAGUUAAAGCCACAGAAUUAUCUGUGGCUGUCGUAACUUGCUCAGAUCUGUCUUACAGAGUGUGGUCAACUGCAGCUGUGGGACUGAAGCACAAACAUAAUUAGAUGCUGCACUAGGCUGCUGUGGAGUGCAAGAUGUUCUCAAGGUCUCCAUUAUCUGCUCUCAGGCCCAUAUACAUUUCACAGAACUGUCAGGUAGGGUAAAAAAAAGCUGUAAGUGUAGAGCAGUCAUAUUUGAAGCAGUCUGGGCCUAACCACUGUUCUCAGCAUGGAAAUAAAGUAUUUCACUAUAGAGUUUUCUACUUUUGCUUGUCCUAUGUCACCAAGGCAGUACAAAAUCAAAGACUGCAUAUUUCAGUACUCAUGUUAUCAGUAGUAUCACAGCUCCUCUAAAAAUAUACAAUUAAUUUUAAUUUUUUUAAUAUAUAAGUAUCAAAACAAGUAAGUUGAAAAUCCAUUCAGUGUAGGAAAAAAGAAAAUAAAAUUGACACAUACCCCAGGAACUUUAAUUACUGUAUCAAUUGAUCGUGGAGAUGUUGCCACUGCCCGUACAAUAAGUUCACGAGAUGGGUUUCUCUGAUGCGCCUCUGAGAAGCCCAACACAAGUGCCACGCCAGGAACAUACCGCAUGAGUCUAGAGAUAAAUAAGAUGUGACAAACUCAGCUCCAUGAGCAAAGACAGACAUUGGAAGGUAAGGAUUGCUGGCAUUUCUGAAAAAUCGGAGGAAAAAAGGGAAAACUAAGAAGUCAAAGAAAAAGUGCUUUGGGUAAAACUAAAUGGUUGAUUUUAUCCUAAGGAAACACAUUGUUUUUAUUUUUAUCAUUUUAGCAGUUUUGUAUUUUUUAUUUUUUUUUAAUACUGAAUAGAAGGACAUUUCAAAACAAAGAGGCAUUUUGAACUGGAACAUCUAAUCUUUUAAUAAGGGAAAUGAAAUUAAGCAUGUCAAAUUUUAAAUAUUUGGAGGAUGCCUUUUAAUAUGAAACAUGUGGGGGAACUAGAAGAUGUUCAAAGAAUGCUGCUGUGCCCCUGAACUUGUGUUUUCUCCAAAAAUAUCUGUGUCCAAAAAAUCAUCCAUUUUUUUCAGUGCAUUUAUAAUGGCAACUAAUGUAAAAAAGGCAACACAACAACUUAGGAAAGAGCAAAUUACAUACGCUGUGCUUGUCUUUUUUAUCCAGGAAGGAAUAAUUCCCCAUUGCACCUUCAGCUGCACGGCUAGCUUCCUUGCCAUUUGGCCUGUGGUAGCCCAGGCUGCUAUCCUGUAGUCUCGGCACUCCUUGCCCCAUCUCAUUCUAGCCUUUAUGGACAAGAAAACAGACACCCAAAUUUCAGAAAAGAAUCACAGAAACAUCAUUAGUAAUUUCAAAAUAUAUUUUUUUCUUCUUUCCUGAAACUUCACAUUGAUCCUUUAUGUUUCCGUGUCUUUCUUUCACUCUAGAUAGGCUAAUGUUUGCCAUAAUUUCCUGAGAUUUCCUUAAACUUGGUAAGCUAAUAAUCAGUAUAUGUUUUGUUCUAGAAGAAGAUUGGACUAAAAUGUCUAUUACUCUUCUGUAGUACUUCCUGUAUUGAACCUGUACAUUUUGAAUGCUGAAAAAACAGGAUGAAUUAGUUAACUGCUGCUGCAAAAAGUAGAAUUUUUGUAAAUUGUUAUCAAAAAAUUUGUUUCCUUUAUAGGAAACAAAUAUUCUGGAAGCACAGCAUAGGAAGGAGUGAAAAAAGAUAAGACCUAUAAUUUCAUCUGUGUUUUCUCAGGUGUCAACCCAUUAUCUAACCUUAAUUUUUCUGUAAGCUCAUAUAAAUUCCAAGAAAUAGAAUGUUUCAAAUGCCUUUGAGUAAUUGAUCUUACAAAACAAGUUAUAGAGAGAAAAACAGCUUGAUUCCCAGAAAAGCAAACUUGUAUUGAAUGAUAAAUAAUAGGUUGACAGAAAUAUUCUAAAACUUUUAAAAUACUUCUAUAAAUAACAUUUUGAUGCAUCUUGAAAAUCAAAAUUUUGGGGGGAAUCAGAUUUUGAGGUGGCUGGUUUUUGUUUUGUGUUUGUUUUUGUUUUAGUUCAAAAGGAGAGUGAAAUUAUGAACAUUUUCUGAUUUUUUACUAAAAUUGGAGCACAUUUCAAAAUACUUAUGUAUUCCCUGUUUGGACUUUCUAAUCAGCAGGUGCAUUGUGCUUAUUUAAAAAGCUGUGGGCCUUUUAGAUGUCUCGCUUGGCAGAGCUGCCUGUGUACUUACCUGUGCUUUCAGAGGCAGUAUUACAGCAUCAGCACAUGCUUUCCAAUUGGUUUCAGCCAGCUGAACCACAACUAGUUGCACAUCAACUUUGGCAGCAUCGGAACGAACAUAUGCUGUAGCUUGAUAACCUUGAUUUCUGUUGUCACUUCUUACUGCCUGUGCCACAAUCGUAAUGCCAGGUGGAAUUACGUCUCCCAGGAAGUUGCGCUGAAAAACAACCCCCAACCAUCUGUGCUUAAGUAUUUCAGUGUAUUCACUGGAGAGCCUACAGUCCAGUUUAUGUAUGCUGAUAGCAAGUAGCAUCCUUCACCCUUCAGAAGUUUAGUUUAUGAUACAUCUUAUCUUUAUUUCCAAUGAUUAAUAAUGAUUUUGGUUUCAGUCUUAGUUAUUUCAUUAACAAGAGAAAUUUUCAAAGGAUGUGAUUGUUUUCAUACAGGAUCCAAGACUCUUCUAUACUAUCAUUUUACACUUAAGAUUUUGUGCAUUACUGCGAUAUUCAGAAUAGCUGUCUACAUACAUACUGGAUAUCUUCAUAGAGUUAUACACAUUGACAGCGUAUUCUACUAUCCAACCGCUUCUUCAAACAAAUUAUUCUGAAAUUCUCUGUAGUGGCAGAGUUCCCAUAGACAUUUUCUGCAUUUGCAGAACUACCUGGUACUCAGUACAGUUCCAGAAUACCAAGUGUGUAUUAAAGAUAAGGAUGAUCACUGCCUAGUGGGACUUUACAUUUCCUAAUCAGUAAUGACCACAGGCAUUAUGAUUUUAUUUAUACUCAGCAUGCACUCAUGACCACUAGGAGGAAUUAAGUUGGUGGCUUUUUUUGUUUGUUUGUUUAUUUUUCAUUCUUUAACUAAAACUUAUAUCCUUCUAACUUUCAUUUUUACCUAGAUUCUAAAUUUUUUUCAACUCUGGAGUUUCAUAAGAAAAAAGAACUUCUUUCCCCCUUUAAUUUAUAUCCCCUUUCCCUUUAUUUUCUUCAAUCAUUUCCUGAUCCAGGUGUUUAUGUACAGCUAAUGCCUUUAGAAAUUGAGGACAACGUAAUACAGAAAUCAACAAACAAAACUCCAAGG
rnacentral:lncRNA from 1 species